rnacentral:rRNA from 1 species
AGAGUUUGAUCAUGGCUCAGGACUAGCGCUGGCGGUGUGUCUUAGACAUGCAAGUCGGGCGGGAUACAUCGUUGUAGCAAUACAGUGGUGUGUCUAGCGGCGAACGGGUGAGCAAUACAAGGGCAACCAACCCUUAGGAGGGGCACAACCCACCGAAAGGGGNNCUAAUACCCCAUGUUCUGCGGCGGAGGCAUCUCUGCCACAGCAAAGGCGCUGCAAGGUGCCACCUUUGGACGGACUCUUGUCCUAUCAGCUUGAUGGCGGGGUAACGGCCCACCAUGGCAACGACGGGUAGCCGGCGUGAGAGCGUGACCGGCCACAGGGGAACUGCGAUACGGUCCCCACUCCUACGGGAGGCAGCAGUCUAGAAAUUUGGGCAAUGGGCGAAAGCCUGACCCAGCGACACCGCGUGGAGGAUGAAGUCUUUCGGGAUGUAAACUCCUGACAGGCGGAGCAUGCCUUGCGCUCUAACUAAGCGCAGGGUGACGGUACUGCCAAAGGAAGCCCCGGCUAACUACGUGCCAGCAGCCGCGGUAAUACGUAGGGGGCAAGCGCUGUCCGGAUUCACUGGGCGUAAAGGGUGUGCAGGCGGACUGGCGGGUCGAUGGUGUAAGCUCCCGGCUCAACCGGGGAAGUGCUGUCGAAACUACCAGCCUUGAGGACGGAAGAGGAAACUGGAACUUCUGGUGUAGCGGUAAAAUGCGUAGAUAUCAGAAGGAACGCCGAUAGCGAAGGCAGGUUUCUGGGACGUUCCUGACGCUGAAACACGAAAGCUAGGGGAGCAAACAGGAUUAGAUACCCUGGUAGUCCUAGCUGUAAACGAUGUACAUUAGGCGUGGGGAUUUUCCCGUGCCGGAGCCAACGCGUUAAAUGUACCGCCUGGGGACUACGGCCGCAAGGUUGAAACUCAAAGGAAUUGACGGGGACCCGCACAAGCGGUGGAGGAUGUGGUUCAAUUCGAUGUACGCGAAGAACCUUACCUGGGCUUGACAUGUAGGUGGUAGUGACCCGGAAGGGAAGCGACCGGGGUUUAUCCCCGGAGCCUACACAGGUGCUGCAUGGCUGUCGUCAGCUCGUGCCGUGAGGUGUAUGGUUAAGUCCCGCAACGAGCGCAACCCCUGCCCCUAGUUGCAAACCCGCGAGGGUGCACUCUAGGGGGACUGCCUCCGUCAAGGAGGAGGAGGGUGGGGAUGAUGUCAAGUCAUCAUGGUCCUUAUGCCCAGGGCUACACACGUCCUACAGUGGCCGUUACAAUGGGAAGCUACAUCGCGAGGUGAUGCCAAUCCUGUAAAAGCGGCCAUGGUUCGGAUUGCAGGCUGCAACUCGCCUGCAUGAAGAUGGAAUCGCUAGUAAUCACUGAUCAGCAUGCAGUGGUGAAUACGUUCCCGGGUCUUGUACACACCGCCCGUCACGCCAUGGGAGUCGGCAAUGCCCAAAGUCCCUCUAUACGAGGGCCUAAGGCAGGGCCGAUGACUGGGGCGAAGUCGUAACAAGGUAGCCGUACGGGAACGUGCGGAUGGAUCACCUCCUU